AGAACGAACGCUGGCGGCAUGCCUAAUACAUGCAAGUCGAACGAACACUUCGGUGUUAGUGGCGCACGGGUGCGUAACGCGUGGGAAUCUGCCCUUGGGUUCGGAAUAACAGUUGGAAACGACUGCUAAUACCGGAUGAUAUCGAAAGAUCAAAGAUUUAUCGCCCAGGGAUGAGCCCGCGUAGGAUUAGCUAGUUGGUGAGGUAAGGCUCACCAAGGCGACGAUCCUUAGCUGGUCUGAGAGGAUGAUCAGCCACACGUGGGACUGA
rnacentral:rRNA from 1 species